UUUUAUUAGUGACUGAAGUUUAUAGUAAAAUAACAUGAACCGUUAUAGAUAACUGGAAAAAAAAAAAAAAAAUAAAAUAAAAUAAACGAAUUAAACGAAUUAAACAAGUUAAACAGGUUAAACAAGUUAAACAAAUUAAACAAUUAAAGCAAAUUAAACAAAUUAAACAAUUAAAGUGAAUUAAACAAUUAAAGUGAAUUAAACAAAUUAAAAAAUUAAAGCAAAUUAAGCGAGUUAAACAAAUUAAGCAAGUUAAACAAAUUAAGCAAGUUAAACAAAUUAAACAAAUUAAACAAAUAGUAGAAUGUAUAAAUAAAUAAAUAAAUUCAUACAACAAAAAACCUAAAACAGCCGAAAAUAACACAAUGAUAAAAAUAACAUAAACGGUAAUAAGCCAAAAAAAAAAAAAAAAAACAUUUCAUUGUACGAAUGGUAAAUGUACACUUAUAUAUAUAAUAACAUAACAUGUACAUGGAAAAAUUACAAUAGUUGAACUUGUUCAAAUAAAAGUAUAUGGUUUAUAUAAUAGUGCGCUUAUAUUUUUUCGCACAAAAAUAUAUGACAUAUGUAUGACACAUACGCAUAGAUAGCAAAUAUUAUAAGCAUCUAUAUAUUAAUUCAUAUUUUUCCACACAGUUUACCACAAUUCUUUAAUUUUUUUUUUUUUUUUUUCAACAGGAUGAAUACACAUAUUUCCCCAUAACCAUUUUUUUACUACUACUACUACUACUAUAAUAAUAAGAAGAAGAAGAGGAAAAAGAAAACAAAAAAAAAAAUGGCUAUAAUAAAUAGUAGAAUAAAUUUAUUUUGUUUUUUUAAAUAUAAAAAUAUAUUUCCCUUAAUAAAUGAACACAACGAAAAGGGGUUAAUAUAUUUUUGUAAAAAAAAACAUAUUAGGUAUUAUAUUACACCUAAGGAUGGAAAAACUAAUAACCAUAGAUGUUUUAAAAGUAACGUGGUGCGGAGUUAUCAAAAAAGGUUCAAGACGACGCAAGAACAAUUAGAUACGUGUACGCAAUCGGGCGAACAACCAAACAAACCUUCCCAACCAAGCGAACUAAAAAUAAACGACUUUUACUACUACAACAUAUAUUUGCUAAAAAACGAGGAGUUUGCAAAAUUUGUAGUAAGUUACAACUUUAAUGAAAACAAAAAUAUAUAUGUUUGUAUUCUUAUACAUUUAGGGAAAAUAUACCCUAGCUUAGAUAUUAAAAUAAUUAUGAAAAUUUUAUCUAAAGUUUAUGAAAAAAACAAAGCUUCUUUUUCACAUGCUUUAAUUAAAAAAAGUAGUAUACAUAACUUGUACCUACAUAUUUGUAAUAAUAUAAUAAAAUUAAAUAACUACGAUUUAGUUAUGCUUUUACAAUGUUGUUGUUAUACAACAAAUGAAUACCCAAUGGACUGUAUACAAACUAUACAAGACUUUAUUUUGAAAAAAGCACUUCAUACUUUUAACAUAAAUCAUAUCAAUGAUAUUUGCAACUGUUUAAUUAAAAUAAAAAAUGAAUGCAAAAUAAAAAAAAUACAAUACGACGUUUUUAAUAUCUAUAACAUAUUUUAUGAAAUAUUUUUGUAUAUAAAAAAACAAAUUAUUAGUGUAGACACACAAAGCCUUUUUUAUUAUUAUCCUUUGUAUAUUAAUUUGAUUAAAACCGUUCAAGAAUUUAGUGAGUCAAAAUGGAAGAGCAAAAUAGAAGAAGAAGAAGAAGAAGAAGAAGAAGAGGAAGAAGAAGAAGAAGUUAAAAUCUGUUUAACUAGGGAACAGGAUUAUGCAGAAAAAAAACUGACGAAUCUUAGUAACUAUGAUAAUACAGCACACAUAGAGAAUACAUUAAGUAAUUUAAAUAAAGAUUCAAGUUCUUGCGAUAGUGCAAAUUUGGGUAGUAAAACUAACAGUAGCAUCAAAACGAACCACUUAAAAAAUGCGAACACAAAAUACCUAUUAAAUGAUGAAGAAGUAGCAAUGUUAAAAAAAAAAUGCAAAAUAAUUUUUUUAAACAAAAUCAACGAAAUGGACAAAGACACAGUUAUAGAAGCUGUAAUUAUAUACAAAUGGCUAGAAUUAAAUAAUCAGCCUCUUUUUAUACAUAUAUGUGAAUUAUUUUUUUCAAAUAUAUUAGAAUAUGAUUAUAAAUUUAUUAUUCGUUUUAUUAGAAAAUGUCACACGCUUAAGUUCUAUCUAAACAAAACAACAGAAAAUGAAAAUAAGAACAAGUUAAAUGAAAAAAAUAGCAUAAAAAAAAUAGAAAAUGACGAAGCAAAUUAUUUGAAUUAUAUGGUUGGUGAUAAGGAGAAUGUUAAUAAUGCAUCAAACAUCAUUGAAAAAAAAAAAAUGGCAAAAGAAAAAAAUAAAACAUUAUUAAAAAAAAAAAAAAAAAAAAAAAAAAAACAUAUGCCGCAACUACAACAACUAGAACAUCUAGAGAAAAAAAAUGAAACAGAAGAAACCUUAACCGGGACUAACAUCUUUUUAAAAUUUAUAAACGACAAAUUAUAUGAUAUGAACAUAGCCGAAUUGCAUUGUGUUACUUAUGGUAUAUACGGGUUUAUACAAAAUAUGAAACAGUUUACUACUCUUACAAAUUUAAAAAAUAAUAUAAAUAUAUUUUUUUCAAUGAGCAUUCAAUAUAUACAAAACUUUAUAGAAAAGCAUAUGUCUAUUGAUAUACAAAAUAAUAAAAAGAAUCAUUUUCAAUAUAAUUACUCACCUUAUCAUAAUUUAAAAAAUUGUUAUUAUUUACAACAUAAAAAAAAAAAUCAAAUAAAAAAUGAGAUGAAUGAAACUUAUUUGACUGUACAGGACAUUAAUAUGAAUACAGAUUUUUUUUAUAUUGCACCAACUAACAUAUAUUUUAACAAAAAAUUUGACGGUUGUGAAUUUCCAAGUAGUAGUAGCAAUAUUAGCAAUGGUAGCAGUGACAGUAGUACCACUUUUACUUCCACUACUACUACUACUAACAUAAAUGAUAAUACAAACGGUGACAUAAGUACUAGUCCUAAUACAAUCAUCAAUAGCAGUACACAUAAGACAAAUGCAGACCUUAGCCAUACCUACGAAGAAACAUGUCAAUAUGUCGAAUUACUAUGCGACAUACUUUUAAAUAUUAGCCAUUUUAAC
rnacentral:lncRNA from 1 species